rnacentral:rRNA from 1 species
UACGGGGGGGGGCAAGCGUUGUUCGGAAUUACUGGGCGUAAAGGGCUCGUAGGCGGCCAACUAAGUCAGACGUGAAAUCCCUCGGCUUAACCGGGGAACUGCGUCUGAUACUGGAUGGCUUGAGGUUGGGGAGAGGGAUGCGGAAUUCCAGGUGUAGCGGUGAAAUGCGCAGAUAUCAGGAGGAACACCGAUGGCGAAGGCAGGUCUCUGGGCCACUACUGACGCUGAGAAGCGAAAGCAUGGGGAGCGAACAGG